AUACAUCGGUCUUCCUAAUGCCACUAGCUCUAGAAAAGGUGAUAGAACCGGAUUUAUGAUUCUUAUCACAAGCGAAUGAUUUCACCGGCAUGGAAUUGAGUGGAAACAAAGUCUAAAAACUCGAAUUGUUUAUGGCGGAUGAUAGAUACGUCGUCGUUUUGUUAAACCAUCA